ACACCUAGGCUAUUUGGUCAGCCUGCCGCCCCUAGGCUACAAACCUGAACUGCAUGUUACCGCACUGAAUGUUGUAAGCAGUUGUAACACAAUGAUAUUUAUGUGGCAACCGGACAUAAAGCAUUCUGAGGAAAAGCAAAAUUAAAACUCCCAGAAAUCAAACAGAAAGUAAAAUCUUUAAGAAAAGGACUAAAAUUAACAAGAAAUACAGAAUUUAAAACUUUGGUCGCAAUGAAGAGAUGGCGAUAUGACAGAACUCUCAGGCUAACAAUGUAAACCUUCACUUUCAAUUUCUCAUACUUUUUGUCUCCAGCUGAACAAAAUAAAAGCCCAGGAGGAA